AACCUCCUUCGUGAAGCUCACACCUCCCCCGCCCCGGGAGGGGUUUGCCCGCCACUGUCGCUGAAUGAUUGCAUCAUCGAAAGCAGAAAACCACUUUUGCAUCCUUCGGCCUCUGGCGUGCCUGCCAUGACGUCAUAGCUCUGCGGAGGUGGAAGUUGGGGAGCUUUGAGACCCUGCCCUCUACUCUGGGCCCUUUCCUUUCUACCGGCGCCCUUCGGAACUGGGCUGCUUCUCCCUGGAUGCUCAACGCCAGUACCAUGGAGAUGCCCGAGCCCUGCGCUACUAUAGCCCACCCCCCACUAACGGUCCAGGCCCCAACUUUGACCUCAGAGACGGAUACCCGGAUCGAUACCAGCCCCGGGACGAGGAGGUCCAGGAAAGGCUGGACCACCUGCUGUGCUGGCUCCUGGAACACCGAGGCCGGUUGGAGGGGCUGGCUGGCAGAGGCCAUAGUGACGUGGCGGGGGCACCUGACAAAACUGCUGACGACACCGUAUGAGCGGCAGGAGGGCUGGCAGCUGGCAGCCUCCCGGUUCCAGGGAACACUAUACCUGAGUGAAGUGGAGACACCGAACGCUCGGGCCCAGAGGCUUGCUCGGCCACCGCUCCUCCGGGAGCUUAUGUACAUGGGAUACAAAUUUGAGCAGUACAUGUGUGCAGCCGCCUGGGAAGCCACCCUCUGCUCUUCUCAGGGGAGGUAGACUGCACAGACCCCCAAGCCCCAUCCACACAGCCCCCGACCUGCUAUGUGGAGCUCAAGACCUCCAAGGAGAUGCAAAGCCCUGGCCAAUGGAGGAGUUUC
rnacentral:misc_RNA from 1 species